CCAACUUCUCCAAUACUCAGACCUUCCAAUGGAGGGUGUAUGGGAAGUUUCACUCUCAUUGUAGUUCUCAAACUACAGCUUAUGACCCUUUCACAGGAUACAAAAUUGAUUUGGAGAGUUGUCCAGCACUGUGUAUAUAGAACAGAAGUUCGUUGUGAGUACGAAUGCAGGUGCACUGUGCCAUGGUUCAGGUUUCCUGUGGAAUUCCCACUCUGGAGGAUCUACUUGCCUCCCCAGCAACUAACAUGGAUGACUGAGCUUCUUCUUUCAAAGGCCCACCAGUGGGGGCAGGGUCUGUGUGGGAGACCUAUCUUCAGUGUCCAGGCCAGUGAGUGGCAAGCAGUUGGCAUCAACAGAUGGCUGUAGAAUGACUGAGUG